UUUCGCAAUGAUGAACUCCUUUAUACUAUUUUCUGGUACCUCUUAUCUCAGACGAGUUCAGCCGAAAGGCCCAGCCCGUCGAUGCAUUCAACAGACUUUUCUGAUA
rnacentral:snoRNA from 1 species